CUUGCAGAGAGGAAACUGCCGGCACAGAAAUUGGCUCCGGCUUUGCCUUGGUAGCAGCUUUACGGUAGCUUUGGCCAUGAAUUUCUGUCUGCAAGUAUCUCUUCCGUGGCUCAACUGAGGAGUCUCCAAAUCUAGGACUUUGACGCGAGACGAGCAUCUCGAUGUCGGAUUGGACCA